UGUUGAGAUCCUUUGAAAAUAUGGUUCAACAUUUUGGAAUUCCCAGGUCUCAAUUAUUCAGGUAUUUACAGCUGCGCCACAUGCUCUGUACUAUUUCUGGGAGUAGCAUACAUCCCCCUAAAGCAGCAGAUACUCUGGGAGUGGUGAUUACUGCUUUUGGCACUCAAAUUUCAUUUUGCCCCAGACUCUGUAUUUUAGGCGAUGGGGCGGAAAUUAAUAUAGGGGAUAAAUGCAUACAAAAUUGGGUCCUAGCCAGUGUUAUGAUCAGCAGACGGAUUAUUCUUAAGGGAUGGAAGUCGGCUGGAGCACCUUCAUUUCAAGAGUGGUGCACAGAGAUGGGGAGGGUAGCAGCAUUCAAGGAAAUGUCAUAUAGAAGUUUGCUCUUGACCUAACAGUGCAUCUACUGGAAGAUGAGGGUUGACUCCAAACAGCAAGUAAUGUGGUGAAAGUCACUGGAUAGGUGUCUCAACAAACAGUACCCCUGUGGAAUCAGCAGAACUCAGGUGCCCACUCUCUUUUGUCCAGCAGUCUCAUCACCUCACCAUGUCACCUUUUGCAGACACCUGUUCACUGGACCACUGCACCACUGAAGACAGCCUCCUUCACUCUGUGUCCCACAGGCACCUAUCUUCACCUCUACCAUAUUUCAAGAUGAACACGCAAAACAAAACAAACAAAAAAAAACAAAAAAAACAAAAAAAAAAAACAAGAAUAAAUAAAAAUGACCUAUAGGCUCCCAACAGUCAGAUGGGGUAAUCCUGGUACCAAAAAUGUAGCCGGUGGGUUGUAAAGAAACAACACAGGAUACAAAAAUAUCUUUUUGGGGUUUUUAUUCUGAUGGCUGUUAAAAAAAAAAAAAAACAGUAGUUGAUGGGGUAUAUGUAAAAAAAAAUAAAAAAAUUAAAUGGUUCAACGAAAUAUGGUAGAGGCUAAUGUCAAAAGAAAUUCUUAAGUACUUGCUUAAAUCAUUCAAAGCAUUUUAUGCAUUUAACACAUGCUUAAAUCAUUCAAAGCAUUUUAUGCAUUUUUAACCAGGCUUUAAGGACAUGUAUAACAGUUUAAAACAAUAAAAUUCUCAUUAUUUUAUACUUAAUUGUAAACACUCUGGGUGAUAAAUUAUUAAAUAAGAUAUGAUUAAUUCUAAAUGUACAUUCCCAGUCCUCACAUGUUUGCACAAAACAUGAUCAAACUCCACACAUGCAAUCCAUAUGCAUCCUUCAAAUAUAACUCUCACGUCUUUAACCAGCAAACAUGUGCAACACGAGGAGUGUCGGAAAGCAGGUGUUGCAAAUCUCCGAUAUUAAAGGGGCCACGUCCAACCCAUGACCAGAGUUAAAUUUCAUGAAAUUUCUCAACUUCGCUACAUGUAGCUACUAAAUACUAGUUAAUAUUGCUUUUCCCUGUUAUAAUUGCCAAUUUACCUUUUAAGAGUAUUGACAGACAUUUUGGGGCAGUGGUGGGGCAGCAGUUAAGGCAAUGGGUUACUGAUCAGAAGGUUGGGGGUUCAAGCCCCAGCACUGCUAAGAUGCCACUGUUGGGCCCUUGAGCAAGGCCCUUGACCCUAUCUGCUCCAGGGGUACCAUAUCAUGGCUGACCCUGCACUCUGACCCCAGCUUAGCUGGGAUAUGUGAAAAAAAGAAUUUCACUGUAUAUGUAUAAUGUGUGAUAAAUAAAUAAGAUUAUAAAUUA